rnacentral:rRNA from 1 species
UACGAAGGGGGCUAGCGUUGCUCGGAAUCACUGGGCGUAAAGGGUGCGUAGGCGGGUCUUUUAAGUCAGGGGUGAAAUCCUGGAGCUCAACUCCAGAACUGCCUUUGAUACUGAGGAUCUUGAGUUCGGGAGAGGUGAGUGGAACUGCGAGUGUAGAGGUGAAAUUCGUAGAUAUUCGCAAGAACACCCGUGGCGAAGGCGGCUCUCUGGGACGGUACUGACGCUGAGACGCGAAAGCGUGGGGAGCAAACAGG